GUCUCUGUGGUGCAAUGGGUCAGCACAUUUGGCUCUUAACUGAAAGGAUGGUGGUUCAAGUCCCACCCAGGGACA